CCAUCCGCAGCCUCCUCCCGCGAGGAGGCCACCGCCAGCCUCCUCUCGCGCUGCUCCUCCCGCGACGAGGCCGCCGCCAGCCUCCUCCCGCGCUGCUCCUCCCGCGACGAGGACGCCGCCAGCCUCCUUCCCCACCAUCGGCCACCCCUCCCAUUCACGCCCCCCAUCAGAAUCCUCCCCUGGAACCCUAGCCAGCCGCAUGGAACCCAUGGCGCCGCCCAGCUCGCCGCCCUCGGCCGUCGGACCGUCGCGAGGCAAGCGCACGUCCUCCGCCUAGGACGCGCCGAGGCCAACCUGGAGGCCACGGUCACCACGUGCCCGCGCAAGGGCACCACAUCCAGGAAGAAGAAGCUUGUGCUCAAGGCGUCGGCGGGCAAGAAGCAGGCACCACAUCCGGGAAGAAGAAGCUUGUGCUCAAGGCGGCGGCGGGCAAGAAGCAGCAGAAUUGGUGAGACUUGAGAGGCUAGGGUUUGUCUUCGUCCAGUGACCUGCAGGCUUGAUGUGCAUAUAUGUGACUAUUUUCUUAUGAUGAACUUGAAGAUGGUGGUUAAGGUAUUCAUGGUGGAGGGAAAGGUUGAUGUUGGUCUUGGUCCUAUUUAGGCGCAUGGGAGUAAGCUUGAGCUGCAGACGAGCUCAGACUCCAUAGGAGGAGCAUGUUCCGCUGCGCCUUUCCCACCUCCUCGGCGCACAGGGGGAUGGCUAGCUCCGCGCAGCAGCGGGGUGUUGAUCACAAGAUACUAAAGGGUUUCUCUAUUAGUAGAGGUAUGAAGGUUCGAGAAGGGACGAAAGAUGAAGAAUUUGCCUGCAGAAAAUAUUGAACAAAAAGCUCCAGAUGGCUUCCUAGGGGUGAUGCGCUUCAGUUUGAGAUUGGGAUGUUGGCUUUCUCUAACCUGCCUUCCUUGAGUCUGAAGUUGGGUUCACAAGCAAGCAGGCCGCAGAGGACAUGGCACUGGCCGUGUUCAACCGUGCCCUGAAGCUUUCUGGAGCAGGUAUGUGCCUCUGUGUGUGUCUUCUCUAACUUCAUAUCGCUGGAUCUAUGGAUCAUUCUGCACGUUGGGCUUGUUGCUGGCUGCUAGCCUGGCUUGUAAGAGGAUGCUCCCCUGCUUUGAGUCCAAGGUACACAAAUGAUCAAAAGAACACCUGAAUGAAAAAAGCUCUUCCAUUUGUAGUGAAGUUUCUGUAGAUGUAAUCUCUAUUUCUUUUACAUGUGGAUACUGUUGUUUUGAAGCAAAUUUCACCAUUAAUUUUUCUCAGGUUUUGGAACCUAUAAUCAGUUUUUUUAUCAGGUUUUGUUUGGUCUAUUAUCAGUUUUUCUCGCUUAUUCUCUCUAAUCAUAAAAGGAGCCUGAAAAUCUGCAUUUACAUUUGCAGAUACUGAGGAAAAGUCUAACAUAUCCAGAGGCACCAAUUGGGAGAGGUACAACAUAUGCAUUUCAAAGAGAACUGGACUCCGCUACUUCUGACUUCACCAAGGUUGAAAUUUUAAAUUCAGAAUUCAGAACAUUCCCUUUACCUUUGUGUAAAAUGACCUUAUGAUCUUACUCUAAAGGGAUGAUCAAUUCAUGUUGUCUUGCAUUUCAGUAGUAAAGCGUUAUAGGUAGGUUGUUAGAGCACACUCUAAAUUCCACCAAUUUCUUUCCAUGGCUUAUAUGUGACCAAAUGCUCCAGAUUGUAUAUGACAUCCUUUUGUUUACACAAGCUUAACUGUUUCCUAUGAGGCAGCUACUGAGAGUGAUGAAUAUAGCAUUGCUUGGCAGUUGUGCUUUAGUCAUUGGUAUGAUAGAAGCAUUACAUAGUGCAUUGGUGAUAAAACUAUUGUUCUCUCAAACUGGUAAUAUUGAUCUGUUCUCUUGAAUGAUGUAAAGUUAAUGGAUCUUAUGUGUUUCAUGAUAGUUCACAAUAUUCUCUUAAUUAACAUUCUGAGUAUAAUAUCUUAAACAAUUUGGUUAGAAGUAAACUGGGAUGAAAACAUGUGUAGUUAAAUAUGAAUGCAUAUGUUAUUUCGAGUUAAAUUUCAAUCCACAUACCGGUUGUUAAGAAGUAUUACAUGAUUUUUAUUUUCUCAAUUGUAUGGAAGUGUUAGUUCUUUCCAGGUCUUUGGAAUAACAAUUGUACAUUUUCUUAUUCAUGCUAUUUGGACCGAAUUUGCAGAAUCGUUAAAGUCUCAGCUAGGAUUUUGACCUGGUUACCUGGUUCUGCCUAAUCUUCUCUUUAUUUUGGCUAUGGUUGUCGGUGUAAACUAGGAACUGGUUAUAUGCACAUGUUUUUAAUGUUUCAGACGUAGUAUAUAGCAGAGAGUUUGCUCUGUGCCACUUCCCUUUUCCAUCUCUUCUUACAGCCAAUAUAUAUGUUUCUUGUGCCUAUGGUUGGUGAGCUCAGAAAGACAGCAAACCAAAGGUAUGUUACAUAAUUGUGUACUGUUUUGGUAAAGUCUGCGUGUGUGAAUUUGAUUAUGAUAGGCAAGAGUGCCUUGUUGCAUGGGCCAAAUAUUUUCCCACGCGUGGUAGUUUGUCAACAUUUUUCCGAAAUCACGAAUGAAUUUUAAAAACCGGAAUUUAAGAUAAAUAAGUAAACCUAUACAAACACAAAGAAAGUAAAUGAGAAACAGGAAAAAGAUGGAAGAGAACUUCAUGGGCCAGCCCAAAAGUCACAGCGGCGCUCCACCAUUGAGCCUACCUUUGAGAAGGCCAUUGGGCAAGGCUAUUUCGGUCAUCUUCCUGUCUGAUACAUAGGUCAAACCUAGAAGGAUUUACACGUUCUCUCUCCGACAUUUUCCUUUGCUCCUGCGAAUACAUCGUCUUCUCGGCGCGGCGGCGCCGCCUUGGAUCAGACCUCUGUUGCGCCUCUUCGAUUAUCCCUUUGGAACUCAGCUCCAGCGACCAGUUCAGUCUGUGCUUAUGUUCAAUUACAUCCAUGGUUCCUUUUUCUUCUAAGCUCUAAAGGUGCCCACAUCUGGGGAUUUCUUGGAUCCAUAUAUUCUGUUCAGGUCACUAUGGCGGAAGAAGAGCUCCAGGUUCAUGGCUUGCCGGGUUCCGCUUCCCCCACUAACAGCUGUCUGCGAGCAAUUGCCCAGGUCAAUUCAACUUUAUCACCUUACCUCUCCUGGAAGGAAGUUGAUCGACAAGGCAGCUGAAUGGAGCCACUUAUUAGUAUGUUUAGUAGUUAUGGCCCCGUAGUUGGCUCUCCUUUAUUAUGUUCUUGGUCUUAUUACUUCCUCUCCUGUAUUCUCGCUUUUGGUAUCGAAUUUCAUGUCGAGUGGCUAUCUUUGUGCUCUUAUGAAUGUUCUGAACUUCAUGCUGGCUUAUACUUGAUGUUGGCUUAUAAUCUGAUGACGAUAUUAAGCUCCACUAUGUCUUGCUUCUA